UGCCCCAGUAAGGCCACAAAUUUAGUUUUAUAGUUUAAUUUGCGACCAUUCCAGGGCUA
rnacentral:pre_miRNA from 1 species